rnacentral:rRNA from 1 species
CGCCUGCCCAGUGAACAAUUUAACGGCCGCGGUACCCUAACCGUGCAAAGGUAGCACAAUCACUUGUCUAUUAAUUGUAGACCUGUAUGAAAGGCAAAACGAGGGCCUAUCUGUCUCUUGUAGUAAAUCAAUUAAACUGAUCUCUCAGUCCAAAAGCUGAGAUACCAACAUAAGACCAGAAGACCCUGUGAAGCUUAAACUAAACUAUUAAAUCCUAUAAUAGCUCCUUUCGGUUGGGGCGACCCUGGAAAAAAAAAGAACUUCCAAACAUACUGACUUUACACUCACCAACCCAGGCCAACAAGCCUAACAACGACCCAGCACAGCUGAUAAUUGAACCAAGUUACUCCAGGGAUAACAGCGCUAUCUUCUUCAAGAGCCCAUAUCAAAAAGAAGGUUUACGACCUCGAUGUUGGAUCAGGACAUCCUAAUGGUGCAGCCGCUAUUAAGGGUUCGUUUGUUCAACGAUUAACAGUCCCACGUGAUCUGAGUCCAAACCGGAGAGGG